rnacentral:tRNA from 3 species
GGAGACGUAUCGAAGUGGUCAUAACGAGCUCGACUCGAAAUCGAGUUGUCUUAACCGGCACGUGGGUUCGAAUCCCACCGUCUCCGCCA